rfam:Nitrincola nitratireducens strain AK23 contig000031, whole genome shotgun sequence.
GGGCAGGAUGUGUGAAGUAGGCCCACCAUGCAAGCAUGGUGUUCCUCUUCACUGAGCCUUAUUCGCACCUGACGGUGCUCAACGGACAUCCUGCUGCGGGGCC